rnacentral:tRNA from 1 species
UCCCUGCUGGUCUAGUGGUUAAGACUCUGUGCUUCCACUGCCAGAAACCUGAGUUCAAUCCUUGGUCAGGGAA